rnacentral:misc_RNA from 1 species
GCUUCCUCCAAAAAAGGCACUUGAUUGGCCAAAAUACUCAGAAAACACUUCAAAGGGGUCCACCCCCUGUGGACCGCCACCCGGCACAUCAUAUUCUCCUCGCAACCCUGCCUCACCAAAACGGUCAUAUGAAGACCUUUUCUCAUCAUCUGAUAAUACCUCAUAUGCAGCACUGAUCUCCUUAAAUUUUUCUUCAGCUCCAGGCCCUUUGUUCAUAUCAGGAUGAUACUUGCGAGCAAGCUUGCGAUAAGAUGUUU